rnacentral:rRNA from 1 species
UACGGAAGAUCCGAGCGUUAUCCGGAAUUACUGGGCGUAAAGAGUUGCGUAGGUGGCAUGUAAAGCGAGUAGUGAAAGAUCCCGGCUCAACCGGGGGCACAUUAUUCGAACUCACAAGCUAGAGUAUGGGAGAGGUAGAUGGAAUUUCUAGUGUAGGAGUGAAAUCCGUAGAUAUUAGAAGGAACACCGAUGGCGUAGGCAGUCUACUGGCCCAUUACUGACACUAAGGCACGAAAGCGUGGGGAGCGAACGGG